GAGAUUGGACUGUGCACUUAGUCACAUGGUCUGAACUUUUGGGUAGACCUGUGCGGUGUCAAGAGUUGGACUUGAUGAUCCUUAAGGGUCCCUUCCAACUCAGGAUAUUCUAUGAUUCUAUGACUUUCACAGGUUUUAAUUUGUAGUCUAACCCACCGCUCUAAGAUCUCACAAAACAGUAAAGCCGUCAAAAUCAAAUACAGCGAGUAUUUUGGACAUGAAACAGUGUGGCUUUAGCUGCUCCCUGCUCAUCAAAGCUCUGCUAAGGAGAGCAAUUUCAGUUCCUCACACGUGGCAGAAUCUUAGCAGUGGUCAGCAUUCAUUUGUGCUUUCCUCACAAACAUCUGAUUUCCCUGACUUCUUCCCAGAUCUAGCGUGGGUUUGGAGAUUUCCGCUGACAGUUCUCUAGGAAAGGUGAGGACCAGCGUUACUUAUUCUCUGAAUUCCUGAAGUUAUUACAGGCUUCCUGCAAGGAAGACUCUAUUUCAUGGUAAGAUGAAAACAUAUCUACUGCUAAAGUUACGUGAACAGGAACUCUUUCACGUGUAAAACUGAUGAGGGCAAGCUGGUUCUAUUUAUAGGGGAGUGACAGGAAGAGGAAGAAUGCUAGUAGAGAGCUGAAUUUAGAAAUGCAGCAACUUAUGUCAGAUGCUGAGGAGGACUUGCUUAUCUUGCUCUCUGAAUAGUUGUAUUCUGUCAUCUUUGCUGCUGGAUGUCAUGUGACAUAAUACAGGUGGCUUUUAGUUAGCUUAAAUGGCUGGAUGCAUUGCUAUUGUCUUUUGUCAAAAUCUAGAAGAGGAAAGUAUUGUUUAUUAAGGGUUUUCAGCUAAUCUUAGGUAAAAAGACUUUGUCCUCAAGGCUAAUGAGAUAUCUAGCUUAUGCAGAAAUUCACACCCAUUGUGCAGUACGCCCACAGUGUCAUGGGCCUGAGCUGUGUAAAAGAACAGCGCAGCACAAUGGUGGUAUUCCAGCAUCUGAUCUUAAAACCCCUCUGAAAGUGCUUAAUUCUCGAAAGUGCUUAAUUCUCGGUACUUUUUCCCCACUGAGACUGAGAAGGCAGUUGCGGGGAGGCAACUGGGGAUGUGGGCUGUACAGAAUGGCAUGCAGCACACAGUAUUUGCGGUGGGUGUGGACAGCAGCAGAAGAUAUUUAUUAACUGCUGCUACCUGCAGGCUGUGCCGCCCUCUGGGGACUGCUGCUCUUCGGAUCUCUGCUCUAGUGCAGUCAAGAACAGCCAAUUCAGGUGCUGUGCCCAGUUUCAUGGGCAGCGGCUAUUCAAGUCCUGAACCUUCCCUGAGCAACCAGAACAGUGGCUACCAGAUCCUUUAACAGAGACCCAGGUUAUUUAAACCAAUCCCUCCUCCUUCAUAUCUGCCUUUAUUUCUUCUACUACCCAGAGUGAUCACUACCCAGAAUAACAUCUGCUAGGAUGGCUUUAUAUUGUUGGAUGCAUUGUGUGUGUGUGAAAUAUAUAUGUGCGUGUAUGAAGUGUGUGUGAAAUAUAUAUGUAAUUAUAUAUAUAUUUUUGCUUUACCUUCCCUGUUCCUUAUUCAGACGCAGUUCAGUGGAGCCCUUUUCUGUGGUAGGUGUGCAGGGGAGCUCUGGGGUAACGAGUGCUGUGUACUUGUUAUAGCCACAUUGGAGAGAAAUAAAAUGCUAAACUGGCAGUGGAUAG